GACCUACUCCCUCCGUUCGGAAUUACUCGUCCAAGAAAUGAAUGUAUCUAGAUGUAUUUUAGUUGUAGAUACAUCCAUUUUUGUGACAAGUAAUUCCGAAUGGAGGGAGUAUAUU
rnacentral:pre_miRNA from 1 species